rnacentral:lncRNA from 1 species
GGACAGGCGGAGGCCCCAGAGGCUAGUUCAUACUUUGUGCCUGGAGAAGGGAGGAUGAACCUCGGCCACUCUGCAGAACCCUGCGGGCAGUAGGAUCUGAAAGACUCAGAGAGCUUGUCCUGAUGUGGACUGGGCUCUGUGCACAACCUUUGCAACCAGAAGCUGAAGGGAAAUCAAACUGCCUUUUCUGGGCUCCCGCAGCACAGUGCAGCUGCCACCUGGCCCAACCAGCUUCCUGGACCAUGGCCAACCUGAGUGCACCUUCAUCACCAUCAAGCCAGACAGUGUGCAGCGUGGCCUGGCUGGCAAGAUCAUCGAGCGCUUUGAGCAGAAGAGAUUCCACCUCAUGGCCAUGAAGUUCCUCUGGGCCUCUGAGAACACCCGAAGCAGCACUACAUUCACUGUAAAGACCGCUCAUUCUUCCCCAGGCUGGCGAAGUACAGGAAAUCAGGGCCUGUCUUGGCCAUGGUCUGGGAGGGGCUGAAUGUGGUGAAGACAGGCCGAGUGACACCUGGGGAGACCAAUCCAAUGGAUUCUAAGCCACACACCAUUUGUGGGAACUUCUGUAUUCAGGUGGGGUGAUGCAUCAUUCAUGGCAGUGGCUCAGUAAUAAGUGCUGAAAAAUAAAUCAGCCAGGCCAGGCACUGUGGCUCACACCUGUAAUCCUAGCACUUUGGGAGGCCAAGGCAGGCAGAUCAUGAGGUCAGGAGAUCAAGACCAUCCUGGCUAACACGGUGAAAUCCCAUCUCUACUAAAAAUACAAAAAAUUAGCUGGGCGUGGUGACAGUCGCCUGUAGUCCCAAGUACUCAGAAGGCUGAGGCAGGAGAAUGGCAGGAACCCAGAAGUGAGAGAUUGCAGUGAACUGAGAUUGUGUCACUGCCCUUCAACCUGGGUGACAGAGUGAAACUCAGUCUCAAAAAAAAACAAAGAAAUCAGCCUAUGGUUGAAACAACAGAUGCUGGAGUGGAUGUGGAGAAUUAGGAAUGCUUUUACACUGUUGGUGGGAGUGUAAAUUAGUUCAACCAUUGUGGAAGACAGUGUGGUGAUUCCUCAAGGAUCUAGAAUGAGAAAUACCAUUUGACCCAGCAAUCUCAUUACUGGAUAUAUACCCAAAGGAUUAUAACUCGUGUUACU